CCUCUGCGCCCUGUUUUACAGCAGACUCGGCCCAUCCGCUGCUGCCUCUUUCUCACGCCUCACCGAGGAGAGCGCGAGAAUUAACGGCCGGUCUGUGCACGUGAAAUCUUGAGGCGAUUACUAGGCGGCGGCCUGCGAGUAAUAUGGCAGCCAAUUCAGAAUUGUCCAAGGAUGGUUUCCCUAUGCAGAGGAUUAGAGGAUGAGUUUACUCCUCUGGAGUAGGUUCUUUGCGGAGCGCGUGUUAUUCCGUGCCAUUUUGGGGGAAUAAUUGGCGGUGUUGUAGUUAAAUCUUCUUGUGUGGAGUGGUAGCGAAAGACGAAAGAUCAGUGCCUCUUCAGCACCCUGGAUGCUUCUAUUAUGCGUAUCCUGAGAAGAAUUUCCAUUUAAUGAAUUCAGAUCUAGAGAGAUGGACAAUUGAGCAAGAAAAAACAUACCAGGGGUUGUCAAUGUAUAUGGAGGUUCUCAGUCAUCCAGGACAUGAUUGUCCUAAAGGUGCUUUUUCAAGAGGCAAGUGGACUUUCCAGUUCAGUGAUGGAUUGCUCCUGGUUCUGUCCGGUUCUUUAGAACCGGUAGUAAAAGCGGCAGGAGGCUCCACCUCACCGGCCUGGAUGUCAUAAUUGACAAUCUGCACAUGUGCAGAAGUGGAUCCGCGAGCGAAGCAAGUGCAUGUGUGCGCUUCCAUUGCGAACUGGUAGUAAAGGACCCAGCAAUGAAGAAAUAUGCUGCAAAUUAAUAUUUGGCAGAGCAGCAAAGAAGACCUUGAAAAUGAUAAUAUAGUUGCUAUGAUGUGCCUAUACCUAGAAAGAUCUGAAUUAUGCAGGCAGUGGUUUUUCAGUUAUUCCUAUGACACUGUGGAAACGGAAGCUGAACUUCAAAUAAGCAGGAUAAAAAGAAUAUUUAUGCUUUUGAACUUUGGUGUUGGAGAAGACUCCUGAAAUCCAAGGAUAAUGAAGAAAACAACAAAUGUACAUUAAAAAAAAUUAAGAACUCUCAUUUGAGGCAAAGAUAACCAGGAUCAAAUUAUUAUGUUUUGUACUCAUUACUCAAAGACCCUAAUCAGCAGCAAGUGGAUGGAAUUAAUUACAGCAGUGAUCAAUCCACCAUUUUAAGGACCAGGUUGGGGAUACAUAUUCUGAAAAAUAUAGUUGCUAAAAAUGACAAUAACCUGAUGGCACAAAAUAAACCAAGCAGUGAUAAAUUGAGAAACAUACAGUAGAUCAGCAAUAUUUGGAGGGCUACAGGUUCCCCAUCCUCCAUUCUAACAAAAUAUAAGAGCAGGAAGGUUUUAACAAAUCAGCUGAGGAAGGAGAUACUUUGGAGGUGUGUUUUGAACUCAGAAUAGAGGUCUGCCUCUCCCAUCCUCUUGGAAAGCUCUUUUAUCUAGGACAGGGGCCUCCAAACUUGGCAACUUUAAGACUUGUGGACUUCAAUUCCCAGAAUUCCUCAGCCAGCCCUGGUU